GACGUAGGGCGCGAGCGUUGUCCGGAUUUAUUGGGCGUAAAGAGCUCGUAGGCGGCCCGUUGCGUCGGCUGUGAAAACCCGCAGCUCAACUGUGGGCUUGCAGCUGAUACGGGCGGGCUGGAGUUCGGUAGGGGAGACUGGAAUUCCUGGUGUAGCGGUGAAAUGCGCAGAUAUCAGGAGGAACACCGGUGGCGAAGGCGGGUCUCUGGGCCGAUACUGACGCUGAUGCGCGAAAGCCAGGGGAGCGAACGGG
rnacentral:rRNA from 1 species